CAGUACUGCGGUGCUUUGUUUUUCAAACUCGUCAACAUCGACCUGAGGUGAAAUAUAUUUUGUGAAAAUUGCAUCAUCUGUCAUCAUUUCGUAAUUUUCAGUUGAAGUGGACUUUGUCGUUUCUGUUUCAACUGGCAAAUAUUCAGUUACAUUUUCAUGAAUAUUCACAUUUGUUUCAGGUGCAUUCGUUGGAGAAAUUGUUUCGUGUUUUUCUGAUGCUGCAAAUUCGUUUGCCGUCUCCAAAAUGGAUGUUGUUAGCUGCUGGUUCAAAUCUAGCAUAUUUUCGGUCGUAAAGUCUUCAUUUGCUUCAUCUGCACUGGACUUGGUACCCUCAGUUUGAAUCACCGUAGAUACAGGAACAAUAUUCGCAUCUGUUGUUGCAGUAUCAGUGGGGCUUUCGUUCGAUUCAGCAGUCAUUUGAGCAUCAUCCACUGUUUCCGUAACACCGACCAAGGUUCUUUCAGGUAUGUUUGUCAUUUUUGUAUUGCUUUCUUGAAUAUGUUGUUCAUUUUCUGCAUUACUGGGUUCUGGUAUAUUUGUAACAUCUUGGACAAAAGUAGUUGUUUCAUAUUCGGUUAGAUUGAAAAAUUGUUCCGAUUCAUAAGUUGCAUUUGUUUGUAUAUUACCUUCCAAAAUAGCUUCUUUUUCUUCAUCAGAUUGCAUGUCAUUUUCUAGUUGUAUAGUGGUUGCGGCAAUUAUCGUUGUAGUGGUGUUGACGUGCAAAUCACUCGUCUGACUUGAGUGUAGGGGCGAAAGACUAAUCGAACCAUCUAGUUGCUGGUUCCUUCCGAAGUUUCCCUCAGGAUAGCUGGCAUUUGUUUGUAACAAUUUUAUCCGGUAGAGCGAAUGAUUAGAGGUGUUGGGAACGCAAUGUUCUCAGCCUAUUCUCAAACUUCGAAUGGGUAAGCAAGGCGUUUUGCUUUGAUUUUACGAUGAAAUCGCCCAAUUAGAAUGCAUAAAUGCCUAGUGGGCCAAUUUUGGUAAGCAGAACUGGCGAUGUGGAAUGAACCAAAAGUCAGGUUAAGGUGCCAGACAUUGGCGCUCAUGAAAUACCAGAAAAGGUGUUGGUCGAUAUAGACAGCAGGACGGUGGCCAUGGAAGUUGGAAUCCGCCAAGGAGUGUGUAACAACUCACCUGCCGAAUCGACUAGCCCUGAAAAUGGAUAGCGUUUGAGCGCCAGGCCCAUACCUGACCGUCUCAAUUACGCACUUUUUUUCGGAAAAGGUGUAAUGAACGUUGAGACGGGUAGGAAGGUCGCGACAGUGUUGCUUUGAAGAGUUUUGAGCGUGAGCUCGCUCGGAGCCGCUGUUGGUGCAGAUCUUGGUGGUAGUAGCAAAUAUUCAAGUGAGAACCUUGAAGGCUGAAGUGGAGCAAGGUUCCAUGUGAACAGCAGUUGGACAUGGGUCAGUCGAUCCUAAGAAAACGGCGAAAGCUUGUUCGAAUUUGCGACAUGAAUUGUAAGACUGUGUGUGUUUAUUGUGUGUGCAGUUGUCGUAUGUUUUCGAAAGGGAAUCCGGUUGAUAUUCCGGAACCGAGUAACGGAGACAAAGAGUAGCGCUUUAAUCUCUCUGUGGGGUUGGCGUUCAACUCAAUCGCGCGGUAACGCAAGCGAACUCGGAAAAUGACCGUCGUGAGUUUCGAAAAGAGUUUUCUUUUCUUUUUAAGGGACGCAUUCCCUGGAACCGGGUUGUCCGGAGAUAGGGAUUCUGGUAUCCAUAAAACGCCGACUUUUUCACGGUGUUCGGAGCGCUCUCGUCGGUACGUGAAAAUCCGAGCGACGCCUGGUAAAUCUCGUACUUGGUCGUACUGAUAUCCGCAGCAGGUCUCCAAGGUGAAUAGCCUCUGGCCGAUAGAAUAAUGUAGGUAAGGGAAGUCGGCAAAACGGAUCCGUAACUUCGGAACAAGGAUUGGCUCUAAGGGCUGGGCCGAUCGGGCUGAGGUUUCAAGCGUGCAGUGUAUGCUUGGCUGAGUUGUGUUGAGGACUUGUUCACUUGCCGCCGUUUGUUCGGUUGGUCUAGUGUAUUCGAGUCUGAAGCAGAGCUGGCCGACAGACCGGCACGUGCAGAACCUGAGCUGCGCGGCUGUCCGUUUACGUGUACAGACCGUUUCGGUCGCCAUCCAACAGCCAACUUAGAACUGGCACGGACACAAGGAAUCUGACUGUAUAAUUAAAACAAAGCAUUGCGAUGGCCGAUGAUCGGUGAUGACGCAAUGUGAUUUCUGCCCAGUGCUCUGAAUGUCAAAGUGAAGAAAUUCAAUCAAGCGCGGGUAAACGGCGGGAGUAACUAUGACUCUCUUAAGGUAGCCAAAUGCCUCGUCAUCUAAUUAGUGACGCGUAUGAAUGGAUCAACAAGAUUCCUUCUGUCCCUAUCUACUAUCUAGCGAAACCACAGCCAAGGGAACGGGCUUGGCAAAAUCAGCGGGGAAAGAAGACCCUGUUGAGCUUGACUCUAGUCUGACUCUGUGAAGAGACAUGAAAGGUGUAGCAUAGGUGGGAGAUUGUCAAAUUGCCAUCGUUCGCGCGGUGGUCCGGUGAUCGCCAAUGAAAUACCACUACUUUGAUCGUUUCUUUACUUAUUCGGUAAAGCGAAAAAAUUGUGGCCAAUUUGGCGGUGUUUAUGUCGCUGUUGGUCAUUGUUUUCAUGUUAGAUUGAAGCUUUGUUUACAGCCGUCGCUUUGUGUCGCCAUUUGACGCAUUGUUGUACUGGGUUAUCCCGGUGUGUGGUGUAGUCAGUAUGGAUGAUCGGCGAUAGGUUUGAAGUGAUUCGCUCCGGAAACAGUGUCAGACGGGGAGUUUGACUGGGGCGGUACAUCUGUUAAACGAUAACGCAGGUGUCCUAAGGUAAGCUCAGCGAGGACAGAAACCUCGCUUAGAGUAAACGGGCACAAGCUUACUUGAUUUUGAUUUCCAGUACGAAUAGAAACCGCGAAAGCGUGGCCUAUCGAUCCUUUUGAUUGUGUAGAUUUCAUGCAAGAGGUGUCAGAAAAGUUACCACAGGGAUAACUGGCUUGUGGCAGCCAAGCGUCCAUAGCGACGUUGCUUUUUGAUCCUUCGAUGUCGGCUCUUCCUAUCAUUGCGAAGCAGAAUUCGCCAAGCGUUGGAUUGUUCACCCACCAAUAGGGAACGUGAGCUGGGAUUAGACCGUCGUGAGACAGGUUAGUUUUACCCUACUGAUGACAAGUCGUUGCGAUAGUAAUCCUGCUCAGUACGAGAGGAACCGCGGGAUCAGACAUUUGGUUCAUGCGCUCGGCUGAAAGGCCGGUGGCGCGAAGCUAGCAUCUGCAAGAUUAUGACUGAACGCCUCUAAGUCAGAAUCUUUUCUAGUCAUUGGCAACGAUAAGUUGCGUCCAGACUCGAU
rnacentral:rRNA from 1 species